UAAUACGGAGGGGGCCAGCGUUGUUCGGAAUCAUUGGGCGUAAAGGGCGCGUAGGCGGCUUGGUAAGUCCGUUGUGAAAUCCCUCGGCUCAACCGAGGAACUGCGACGGAUACUGCUUGGCUUGAGUCCCGGAGAGGGUAGCGGAAUUCCCAGUGUAGCGGUGAAAUGCGUAGAUAUUGGGAGGAACAUCGGUGGCGAAGGCGGCUACCUGGACGGGUACUGACGCUGAUGCGCGAAAGCUAGGGGAGCAAACAGGAUUAGAUACCCUGGUAGUCCUAGCUGUAAACGAUGGGCACUUGGUGUUGCGGGUAUCGACCCCUGCAGUGCCGAAGCUAACGCAUUAAGUGCCCCGCCUGGGGAGUACGGUCGCAAGGCUG
rnacentral:rRNA from 1 species